rnacentral:rRNA from 1 species
AACGAACGCUGGCGGCAUGCCUAACACAUGCAAGUCGAACGAAGCCUUCGGGCUUAGUGGCGCACGGGGUGCGUAACACGUGGGAAUCUGCCCUUCGGUUCGGAAUAACAGUUAGAAAUGACUGCUAAUACCGGAUGAUGACGUAAGUCCAAAGAUUUAUCGCCGAAGGAUGAGCCCGCGUAGGAUUAGGUAGUUGGUAGGGUAAUGGCCUACCAAGCCGACGAUCCUUAGCUGGUCUGAGAGGAUGAUCAGCCACACUGGGACUGAGACACGGCCCAGACUCCUACGGGAGGCAGCAGUGGGGAAUAUUGGACAAUGGGCGAAAGUCUGAUCCAGCAAUGCCGCGUGAGUGAUGAAGGCCUUAGGGUUGUAAAGCUCUUUUACCAGGGAUGAUAAUGACAGUACCUGGAGAAUAAGCUCCGGCUAACUCCGUG